UACGUAGGGGGCGAGCGUUGUCCGGAAUUAUUGGGCGUAAAGAGCUCGUAGGCGGUGUGUCACGUCGGCCGUGAAAACCUGCAGCUUAACUGUGGGCGUGCGGUCGAUACGGGCAUCACUGGAGUUCGGCAGGGGAGACUGGAAUUCCUGGUGUAGCGGUGAAAUGCGCAGAUAUCAGGAGGAACACCGGUGGCGAAGGCGGGUCUCUGGGCCGAUACUGACGCUGAGGAGCGAAAGCGUGGGGAGCGAACAGG
rnacentral:rRNA from 1 species